rnacentral:rRNA from 1 species
UACGAAGGGGGCUAGCGUUGCUCGGAAUUACUGGGCGUAAAGCGUGCGUAGGCGGUUUGUUAAGUCUGCUGUGAAAUCCCCGGGCUCAACCUGGGAAUGGCAGUUGAGACUGGCAGGCUGGAGUGUGUCAGAGGGGGGUAGAAUUCCACGUGUAGCAGUGAAAUGCGUAGAGAUGUGGAGGAAUACCGAUGGCGAAGGCAGCCCCCUGGGAUAACACUGACGCUCAUGCACGAAAGCGUGGGGAGCAAACAGG